rnacentral:rRNA from 1 species
GANUGAAGGUGAUGCCUGCCCGGUGACUAAGUNUAACGGCCGCGGUAUCCUAACCGUGCAAAGGUAGCGCAAUCAAUUGUCCCGUAAAUCGGGACUAGUAUGAAUGGCUAAACGAGGUUCUAACUGUCUCUUACAGGCAAUCGGUGAAAUUGAUCUCCCUGUACAAAAGCAGGGAUAAACUCAUAAGACGAGAAGACCCUGUGGAACUUUAAAAUCAGCAGCCACCCCGAAUUACAUCCAAACCUACCCAGGCUCACUUACCAACGGGCUACUGGCUCGCAUUUUUUCGGUUGGGGCGACCUUGGAGCAAAACAAAACCUCCAAAUCUUGGACCAUAAAUCUAGACUAAGAGCUACUCCUCUAAGUGCUAAAAGCAACCAGAUCCAAUACAAUUGAUCAAUGGACCAAGCUACCCCAGGGAUAACAGCGCAAUCUCCUCCAAGAGUCCAUAUCGACGAGGAGGUUUACGACCUCGAUGUUGGAUCAGGANANCCUAGUGGNGCANCCGNUACUAAGGGUUNGU